AACGAACGCUGGCGGCAUGCCUAACACAUGCAAGUCGAACGAAAACUUCGGGUCUAGUGGCGCACGUGUGCGUACCACGUGGGAACCUGCCCUUAGGUUCGGAAUCACUCACCGAGAGGGGUGCUAAUGCCGGUUAAUGUCUUAGCGCCAACGAUUUAUCGCCGUUGGAUGGGCCCGCGUUGGCUUCGCUAGUUGGUAGGGUAAAAGCCUGCCAAGGCGACGAUGCAUAGCUGGUCUGUGAGGAUGAUCAGCAACACUUGGACUGCGACCCGGCCCAGACUCCUACGGGGAGCAGCAGUGGGGAGUAUUGUACAAGGGGCGAAAGCCUGAUCCAGCAGUGCGGCGGAAGUGGUGAAGCGCUUAGUGUUGUAAAUCCCCUUUACCCGGGAUGAUAAUGACAGUACCGGGAGAAUAAGCUCCGGCUAACUCCGUG
rnacentral:rRNA from 1 species